rnacentral:rRNA from 1 species
AUUGAACGCUGGCGGCAUGCCUUACACAUGCAAGUCGAACGGCAGCACGGGUGCUUGCACCUGGUGGCGAGUGGCGAACGGGUGAGUAAUACAUCGGAACAUGUCCUGUAGUGGGGGAUAGCCCGGCGAAAGCCGGAUUAAUACCGCAUACGAUCUACGGAUGAAAGCGGGGGCCCUUCGGGCCUCGCGCUAUAGGGUUGGCCGAUGGCUGAUUAGCUCGUUGGUGGGGUAAAGGCCUACCAAGGCGACGAUCAGUAGCUGGUCUGAGAGGACGACCAGCCACACUGGGACUGAGACACGGCCCAGACUCCUACGGGAGGCAGCAGUGGGGAAUUUUGGACAAUGGGCGAAAGCCUGAUCCAGCAAUGCCGCGUGUGUGAAGAAGGCCUUCGGGUUGUAAAGCACUUUUGUCCGGAAAGAAAUCCUUGGCCCUAAUACGGUCGGGGGAUGACGGUACCGGAAGAAUAAGCACCGGCUAUCUACGUG